rnacentral:rRNA from 1 species
GGGGAAUAUUGCGCAAUGGGCGAAAGCCUGACGCAGCGACGCCGCGUGGGGGAUGAAGGCCUUCGGGUUGUAAACCCCUUUCAGCUCUGACGAAGCCUUUGGGUGACGGUAGGGGCAGAAGAAGCGCCGGCCAACUACGUGCCAGCAGCCGCGGUAAGACGUAGGGCGCAAGCGUUGUCCGGAUUUAUUGGGCGUAAAGAGCUCGUAGGCGGCCUGUCGCGUCAAUCGUGAAAUCCUGCGGCUUAACUGUGGGGUUGCGGUUGAUACGGGCGGGCUGGAGUGCGGUAGGGGAGACUGGAAUUCCUGGUGUAGCGGUGAAAUGCGCAGAUAUCAGGAGGAACACCGGUGGCGAAGGCGGGUCUCUGGGCCGUUACUGACGCUGAGGAGCGAAAGCGUGGGGAGCGAAC